GCGGGGGAGGAGAGCGGUUGGGGGCGUCCAGGGUGCGCUCGGCGAGUGGCGUACGUGCUACGUGUAAAGCUGUCCUGUUACAAUAGAGGAGAUAGUCGUGGGUAAGAAGGAACUGGAGUGAAGACAAGACACUUGAGGAUGGAAAUCUCCAAGGAAAGGAAAUGCCCCCGGACCAGCCCCACCUGACCGUCUCCAAGACCUCAGCGUUGUCCAUCACGCUGGCCUGGCUUCCUGGGGACAAUGGGGGCAGCUCCAUCCGGGGUACGGCUGCUGGGGGCGACGGGGUCGGC